rnacentral:rRNA from 1 species
GGUGAGUAACGCGUAAGAACCAGCCCUUGGGAGGGGAACAACAACUGGAAACGGUUGCUAAUACCCCGUAGGCUGAGGAGCAAAAGGAGAAAUCCGCCCAAGGAGGGGCUCGCGUCUGAUUAGCUAGUUGGUGAGGCAAUAGCUUACCAAGGCGAUGAUCAGUAGCUGGUCCGAGAGGAUGAUCAGCCACACUGGGACUGAGACACGGCCCAGACUCCUACGGGAGGCAGCAGUGGGGAAUUUUCCGCAAUGGGCKAAAGCCUGACGGAGCAAUGCCGCGUGGAGGUGGAAGGCCUACGGGUCGUCAACUUCUUUUCUCGGAGAARAAACAAUGACGGUAUCUGAGGAAUAAGCAUCGGCUAACUCUGUGCCAGCAGCCGCGGUAAU